rnacentral:lncRNA from 1 species
GGGUUGUUCAUGAUCUUGUGUUUCCCACUGUGCCGAAUCUCCUUCAAUGUAAAACAGUAUGAUAUGUGUUGCAACCAACUCCCUGUCGCCUGUCGUCGAGAAUGAACAUCUGCAAAACAGCAUCCACACAGACUAGAUUUGUGUCCGGCGGGGACUCUCCGAUGCUUAAGUCAGAGAGGAAAGUUGGUGAACAGGAGUUGAAUGUAAACAG